AGAGAUAUAGCUCAGUGGUAGAGCACUUACCUAGCUUGUAUGAGGCCCUGGGUUCAAUCCCUAGUACCACAA
rnacentral:tRNA from 1 species